ACGCUCGACACCUACGGGUGGCAGCAGUGGGGAAUAUUGCACAAUGGAGGAAACUCUGAUGCAGCGAUGCCGCGUGAGGGAAGAAGGUUUUCGGAUUGUAAACCUCUGUCUUUGGGGACGAUAAUGACGGUACCCAAGGAGGAAGCUCCGGCUAACUACGUGCCAGCAGCCGCGGUAAUCUGAGCGGGCUGGCAAGGC
rnacentral:rRNA from 1 species